ACGUUUCCCCUAUAACUGUUUAAUGCAAAACUUCAAACCUAUAGUUAACUGUUUGGCUAAAGCAACCUGUUGGCACCAAAACUGGGUUAAAUUCUUAGUGCUUUCAGUUGCAGAGCAGUACUAAUAAAGGCUGAUUCUGAAGGUAAAUGGAGAUGAGACACUUAUUUUUUUUUUUUUUCCUGGAGAAAUAGUCCUAAUCCACUCUUGUAAACUCACGGUGCAGUAAUAAUAUUUAAAGGUUCACGUGUUCUGUAGGUUCAAUUUUCUUGUUAUGAAGUGUCUUGAGGUCUUUCCAGCCUGAGUGAUUCUAUAAAAACUGCUUUUCUGUUGAUGUAGUUUAAUUUAGAACUACCUUAGUUUCUCUAAUAACACACUAGCAGAUUGGAUGCUUCUGAAGCUUUUACAAGUGCAGGUUCUUAUAGCAGCGCUCUCCACUUAUGGGUAGUACAAUGAGGAGGAGCCACAUCUUUAAAAAGUGGUAUUCUCAGCCCCAGUCCUUGGUCACUUGGUCCAUUUGUCCGUAAUUACUCUUGAUUUAACUUAGUAGAACCCAUCAGCCCGACUAAUACGGCUUGAUCUGGGCUUUUUUUGUCUGUUAGCUUCUUUAAUUCUGUAGAAAUGCAUGGAAAUAUCACCUACUAGAAAGUUUGACCUGAAAUGCCUUUUGUAUUGGGGGGGGUAGAGAACAUUCCUGUGCCAGCUACAGAGAUCUUAAAAGCUUCCAUGUUUCACCAGUGGUUGAUUAAAGCUGUUUCCUUUGUGUAAUGUGUACAUGGGAGUUGCAUAGAGUUUUCUUGUAUGUCUGUAGAGAAAAAGAAAAAAAAAUAACAAAACCAAAACCCUUAGCCUCCAGUGCAUUACUGUGGUAUGUUCUGUGCGUGCCAAAUUAAAAGAGCCUAAAUAAAUGGGCUUUCCCCUCCCCUGG